rnacentral:rRNA from 1 species
GCCACCGGCGAUAGCACGUUGAAUGCACCAGUUCCCCGUGGAUCACUGAAGUUAAGCAACAUUGCACGUGGAUGGUAUCUGGAUGGGUGACCAUCUGGGCAAUCCCCUGCUGCUGGCU